rnacentral:rRNA from 1 species
AUUCCAGCUCCAAUAGCGUAUAUUAAAGUUGUUGCAGUUAAAAAGCUCGUAGUCUGAACCUUGGUCGGCAUUGAGCGUCCGAGGCCUUUGGUCUCGCGCAUGCGAUCUGCCUGGCCAUGUACUUCGGAGGAGCGCGUGUGCUUUUCACUAAGUGCGCGUGGGAUUCCGAUAGUUUACUUUGAGAAAAAUAGAGUGUUCAAAGCAGGCGUUUGCCUUGAAUACAUUAGCAUGGGAUAAUGAAAUAGGACUCUGGUGCUAUUUUGUUGGUUUCGAACACCGGAGUAAUGAUUAACAGGGACAGUCAGGGGCACUCGUAUUCCACCGAGAGAGGUGAAAUUCUCAGACCAGCGGAGGACGAACCACUGCGAAAGCAUUUGCCGGGGAUGUUUUCAUCG